CAAAGUUGGGGCGUUCCUGGUUCUCUGCGUAUGGUUAAAAUAACCAAUGAGUGAAGAGAUGGUAGUUACCGUGGUUACCAAUUGUGUAAACCCGUACGCUGUUGUUAACGUGGACAACAUGCGGUAAGCUAGGUUGUUCAGUGCAGCGUACCGGAAAAGAGACAAGACAGAAACAGACGAACAGAAAAGAGAUCUACAGCAAUGAGUGGAGGAAACCUACAGACGUUUGUCACAAACUACAAACCAGAAGAUUCUG